GGGAGGACGAGGAGCCUGACGGAGGAGGACCUGGAGGAGCUCAAGGGCUGCCUCGACCUCGGGUUCGGGUUCGCCUACCACGAGAUCCCCGAGCUGUGCGGGACGCUCCCGGCGCUGGAGCUCUGCUACUCCAUGACGCGGAGGUUCCUCGACGAGCAGAGGGCGCCCGGGCAGGAGCCGGAGUCGCCCGCCACGCCGCCGCUCCCCAACUGGAGAAUCUCUGGCCCCGGUGAUGACCCAAAGGAAGUGAAG
rnacentral:misc_RNA from 1 species